GACGACGUACUUCAUAGGAUCAUAUCUAUAGGUCACGUCCUUCUUUGAGCUCUUCUAAAGAGCCACAGAAUCCAACUUGGUUGAUGAGAUAGAUACCUGCACACCCUAGAGUGAGAAAUAUGUUUGUUAGGUUACUGUCUUCGGACUUUACCUUCUUGCGAAGCCUCUCAAUUGCGAUUGUUUUGUUAUUGUUAUUUAGGCGCCGAGAUACCUUUUUUGUAUCUUCGGAUAUAGAAAGAUCUCGGUUGCUAUUGGAUAAUUAGUACACUAGAAUCCCGAGAGGAGCGAUGAUCUUGACCCUCUAUAUGUGCUUCCUCGGAAGAGUUAUAUUGGGUGGGUGUGUAUGGCUGUCUGACAAGU
rnacentral:snoRNA from 1 species